rnacentral:tRNA from 1 species
UGAGGUAUAGCUUAGUGGUAGAGCACUUGUCUAACAUGCAUGAGGCCCUGAGUUUUACCCUCAGCACUGGAG